CAAGUGCUUUAUGUGACAGUGACACUCUUGACCCAUCAACAGUGGUCUGAGGCUAUUCAGAAGAUUUUCAGGAGCAGUGAUGUAUUUCACUGGAAAGUAUAGCCUGUGCCUGAAGAAUGUGUUUUUAAGACAGUCGGCCUGGGUUAGAAACGUUAGCAAGUGACCCUGCCCUGAGAUUUUUCUCCACCAGAUCUGGAAGCCCAGCAGUGAACAGAUACGGAGCACAUUGGUCUGAAACUGGAUAGCUUUAGUUUUAUGUGUUUGUUUAUGUGGAUUAAAAAAACAAAAGGAGGUUUUAUUUCUUGCAAACCCUGCUCUUAAUUCUAUCCAUCCGCAUACGUGACACUGAUACUAGGUAGAUUGGGAAGGACAGGGUAGAGGUGACAGUCAACACUCUUCAAGUUAUCACUGCUGCUGUCUCAUGCCUGUCAGGUCCACCAAUGCCAUUUUUAUGCAAAGGACGUGUUAUUUGAAGGAUUAUUCCCAUUUCACCAAGAGACUAUCAAUUUGUCAGUCUCGUGACGAUGUUGGUUGACUCAUAAUGCCACAAAAGAACGUUAACAAUCUUUUUUAUACUUUAAUACUUGAUCAAAGUUGUUUUGUAACCAAACAUUUUCAAAAAGGCCAAUUCUCUCUCUUCAAGAAUCCAAACAUUUGCUUUAAAUGGGAAUUCUCAGGCUGCAAGUGAGCAGUAAAAGGUAGAAUUGAGCUAGAAAUGAACGUGACAAGGUGCAAUAUUCAGUGUGUAUAUCAGAUUUAAUUUUGCAUAAGAAAUGAAUUUCUUCAGCUUAUUUUUUAAUUAGCUUAAGCAAGUGCAUUCGGGAGCCAAUAACACAGACUUACGGGAACUGAAUUACCAAAAGGGUUCCGAGCCCAGGCUCUAAAUCACAGGCCUUGAGCUGAUCUCGUAAUUAACACCAAGCUGAAGCACUGCAUCAGAUGCCGCAGAAACACCUUCGCCAAAGAGAGGAUGGGGAGUGCGCCGAUCAUUAUUCCCAGGCAGCAGCAUCUCAGGGACCACAAAGCCUUGCUGAACGUUAAGAAGUCAGUUACAUCAACGUGCUAAGCAGUUAAUGUCCUGUCAGGCACAUCUGUGUUUACUGCCAUCAGAUACUCCCAGCUGUUCACAUUGCCUCUGUUUGAUGGUCAUUCUGGGACCAGCCUGAUGUUGAGAAGCAUGUUAUUAGAGAAGUAAAUUCCUUCCUGAAGAUUGAUCAAGGAGUGAUGUCAGCUCUGCGAUGCUGGAGUUGGUUCAUAAAGUUGAGGACAUAGACAUGUACUGGCAAUUACAGAAGGUGAAUUUAUUUAGGACUCUUGAUCAGGGCUUUUAGAGGUCUGUUAUUGCUUUGGUUUAAAUUAUGCUUUAAAAUCAUUCUUGUAGUCAGGUUCUUUUAGGGCGGCUCAGAUAGAUGUAAGCAAUUCCUUUCCUGUGGGGCCUGAAAGCAGGCAGGUGCGUUGCUACUAUACAGAUAAGGAAAAAGAGCCAUUGAGAUGCCAAAAGCAACCUCUUAAUCAACCAGCUGGUUACUGAGGCCAGGUGCUGUGGAUUUACAAGAGAAACAGUAACGUAUUUGUGCGGAGGCUCUGCAGUUUGCCUCUCCCAAAUCCACUCUCAGCCCUUCUCGACACUCUUCUCAGCUCAGGGAGCCCCUCGGGACUCCUGAGCCCUCUGGCUUCCCCUUGGGCUCAGCCCAUGGAAGCCCCUGGCAGGAGGGACGGGGAAGGAUGCAGGACUUGUAUCUUUCCUGGAGUGACCCAGCAAAGCCAAAUGGCUCCGAAUCCUCAGGAAGCCCCCACUGGGUUUAAAGAAGGACUUCUAGCUGCUCUGCACUGCCUUUAUUGUUGGUUAUGGACCACCUCCGAGGUACUACUCAAGGUCUCCACAGUUUCUUCUAAACUCCAAAGUUGAUUGAAUUUCUUCGACUUCAUCACUGUCGUGCAGAAACUUCAAGACGCCCAAUACUCCCUGUCGAACAGCUCCUGAGAGGUAGGGAGCAUACAUAACAGGGAAAAGAAGGAGGUCACAGAGUAUAUAUGUAUUUUUUCUCUUCAGCUCCUCUUAUAAGCCUGUUCUGAUUUUUUUCAAGGCUGCUUUCAGCUUUAUGUAAUUCUAAUGGUUCCUCCUUCACUUGAACUCCACAUUACACAUUGUUAAUGCCAAAUAAAUGUUUCCACCAUUCUUGUCACCGUGGCUUUCUUACUGGGAUUGCAUGCAUUAGUAAGUCCAAUGGCAGAAUCUCAUUUCUUUGAAUAGCUUCACAAUUUCGUGCACCUACCAUAAAAACAAGCAAAU
ensembl:lncRNA